GAAGACAGUAGCUUAAAUUUAACCAAAGCAUAACACUGAAAAUGUUAAGAUAAAUUUUUCUUCU
rnacentral:tRNA from 1 species